UGUGUACAGAUUCAUUGUCAAUAAAUACUAGAUCAAAAGCUCAGCUCUAAUGCCCUGCGUUAUUGAAAAUUUAAGAGACAAAAUGCCAGCUAAUCUACAGUAAAGUCCAGCCGAAAAUGAUACGUUUUACAAAAGUCUUUCAUCUGUUAAAAACCUUAAUUGCUCUAGUGUAAAUGGUCCUAUUCCUGUUUGCAUUGUGGUACUGGUUUUUAACAUCCUCAUAUGCACCUAAAUCUUGCAUGAUUUUUACAUAAAUUUUGAAAUUUGCCAAGCACUAAAGAUCUUAAAGACAAAACCGGUGAAGUAUAGUAAAAAUUUCUUUUGACGUUCUGUAUCAAUCAUUCAAUUUUUGGAGCCUUGAAAAUUUUAUCAAAGUUGCAUUUUUUCAGUAAAUUGUUUUAGCUGUUAAAAGUGAAUGUUUGCCGGCUAUGAAAGGCUGUUUGUUUUCCUUGCUAAUAUAGUACAUAUUUGAAGGAAGCGUACUCGGUGAUUAUGUUUGUAACUUCUGUCAUUUGCUGUAUAUUGAAGGGUAAAAUAUCAAACAUGACGAUAAAUGUAGUGAAAAAAGUUUUGCAUUAAGACCCCAAUCGAAGUUCACAAUUGUCAAUAAAAUUUUGUCAACCGUACCAGCUGAUGGAUUUUUAGUCGAUCUCAUCUCCACACCAUUGUGGGUGUCAUGGCAACAGGGGAAAAAGUUAACACAAGCUAGAAAAUUUGAGAGAAAAAGAGUAAUUUCUUUGUAACUUUGUAAUCCUUGCUGUGUCCGUGUGCACUAUCACUGUUUGUAGAACUCCUUUUAAUCUGAAAAACUGAAAACAAUAAAACCUGCUUUGGGAGAUGAAAUUAAAAUUUCAGAUUGUCAGUUUUAACAUAUUUUCUAAUUGAUUAUUUUCAUUUUUUCUUAAUAUUGAGUUUGCCGACGGGCGCAAAAACUUGUCUCUUUCACGUAUUAUACUUUUCUCAUGGAUCUGAAUUUAAAUGAUCAGUGUCUUCAACCAUCGAAAUGGAGUCUAUGGUGGCAUUUUGUGUACAUUCUUGCAGCUUCGGAUAUCUCAGAAUUUACAGUUACAAUGAUGUUUGCUUGCCGAACAGUAAGGAUGAGCAACACGAAAAUUGUACAUUUGUGCGAGGCCUGCAACCAAUUUUUGGUCAUGUGCCUAAUUUGUGGAAAAACUGAAAGUCUUAGGUUAGAGACUUGAUUUUUUUUAAGUCAAGUUGAGAUCAAGAUUUUUCUUUUUUGUAACAAUUGUCUUAAUUUUAAUAAACAUUUUUUAUUGUUUUUUUCUGACUUUAAUUUUUUUAUAUUCAAUUUCUGAGUGUAAACUGUGACGAGUGCUUUUUAUACUUUCUCUGAUAGUUUUGUAGAUUGUCCUAGGGGGAUUAUAUUUAAAGCUUCUGAUGAGCUUUUUUUAACUGAAAUUUUUUUCUUGAAAACACAGGCUUGUUUUCAAGAUCACCCUGACUUAAUCGCUCAGUAUUCGUUGCCUCCAGCAUGGAAGAAUAUAUCUAGUCUGGGCUGUUUUAGUAUUUCUCAAAAUAUUUUAUUUUUUCAUGGAAGAACCGUAGCAUGAACUAGUCUGAAAAUUUUAGAGUUCCUUUUCUCAAGGGUAAAAAGAAUCCCAGAAAUUUCAGAAAAAUUCUUUCGAUAGUUCUCUAAUAAACUAUUAAAAUGUAAGUAAAAAAUACUGAAACAGCGCAGCCAGGAUUCUUCUCUAAGGUGUAUCGUGCAGUGCAUUUGAAAGUAAAGCAAGCUGCUUCAAAGUUAAAAAGUGUCAUAGACUCAUUUAGAAUUAUUAUUUUAAACAUCAAAAUUACUUACCUGCCUCUUCUCCUGGCCUUUAUUGCCUCUUUUCAGGGUUGCUAUAAUUGACACUCUGAUUCAACUUAAAAUUACUUAAAAAUUACAUGAUCAGGCGGAAUUGAGCAAGACUUAAUUAGCCGCAUGUUUACUAUCAUUUCAUUCUCUAAUAACAUGUCAUUCAGUAGAUUCAGGAAACAAGUUCUUGAAAAGUGAG
rnacentral:lncRNA from 1 species